rnacentral:rRNA from 1 species
AUUGAACGCUGGCGGCGGGCCUAACACAUGCAAGUCGGGCGAGAGGAGGACGGGUGAGUAAUGGAUGGGGAUCUGCCUGAUGGAGGGGUAUAACUACGGGAACCGGUAGCUAAUACUGCUAAACAUCAGUUGAACCCAUACGGGAUUAGCUGGUGGGUGAGGAAACGGCUCACCUAGGCGACGAUGCAUAGCUGGUCUGAGAGGAUGAUCAGCCACACUGGGACUGAGACACGGCCCAGACUCCUACGGGAGGCAGCAGGAGGGAAUAGUGCACAAUGGGCGCAAGCCUGAUACAGCCAUGCCGCGUGUAUGAAGAAGGCCUUUGGGUUGUAAAGUACUUUCAGUCGGGAGGCGUUACCGACAGAAGAAGCACCGGCUAACUCCGUGCCAGCAGCCGCGGUAAUUC